AAUUCUUAGACCCUUAAAACUUUCCUUCCAAACUUCACCUACUGUGAAUCAAAUUCCUCUUCUUCUAAUGGGGUGGCUUCACUCCAUCUUUUGCCCAUUGAAGAAAUUCUGGCGCCGGAUUCGUGCUACCAAAAGCAACCGUGGGGGAAUAUACAUACUCUAUGAAGAUGUGAAGUCGUGUUCUUGUGAAGAUGUGCACGCUUUAUGGACGCUGCUGGUUGAUUCAGAUGCAAAUUUUACAUAAAUUUAAUGAAACAUCAUGAUAAAUAUGGGCACCGACAAAAUGCCAAUAAUAAAUAAGGAGAAUUAAAAUGUUUUCUUCCCCUUU